rnacentral:rRNA from 1 species
UAUCUCGUAGAGUCUGCAUAUCAAUAAGCGGAGGAAAAGAAACUAACUAGGAUUCCCUCAGUAACGGCGAGUGAAGCGGGGAAGAGCUCAAAUUUGAAAUCUUCAAGGUUCUACCUUGACGAAUUGUAGUUUAAAGAAGUGUUUUCUGUUGGAGUUUUGGUAAAAGUUCUUUGGAAUAGGACAUCAUAGAGGGUGAGAAUCCCGUAUUUGACCAUUAUUUCCAGCUUUGUGAUACACUUUCAAAGAGUCGGAUUGUUUGGGAAUGCAGUCCAAAAUGGGUGGUAAAUUUCAUCUAAAGCUAAAUAUUGGCGAGAGACCGAUAGCGAACAAGUACCGUGAGGGAAAGAUGAAAAGAACUUUGAAAAGAGAGUUAAACAGUACGUGAAAUUGUCAAAAGGGAAGCGUUUGACACCAGUGUUGUUUUCUCGAAAAUCAAUUAAAAAAAGUUGGAUUUUGUAUUGUUAAGACCUUAUCAGCUUACUGUACUCUUUUCUUGCUUUUUUUAAUGCACUUUUCGUUUAACAAGUCAACAUCAAUUUCUUUUGUUGUAAAAGAGUCAUUGGAAGGUGGCUUUCACUUCGGUGAAAGUGUUUAUAGCCUUUGGCUUCUGCAAUCGGAGAGAUUGAGGUCUGCAGCGUAGAUCCUUCGGGGCUAGAUACAUUAGAUGCUAAGUUAUAGCUUUUUAUAGACAACUUGUUGACUAUGAUUAAGUCACUGUAGCUUACUCGCUUAUGCGCUAUUUUACCUACGCUUAGGAUGUUGAUAGUCACAGCGUGUAC